GUAUAUAGCCAUACCACCCUAAACACACCCCAUCUCGUCCAAAGCUAAGCAGGGUGAGGCCUGGUUAGUACUUAAAUGAAAGAUAGGCCUCAAAGAAAUGAUUAGGUCAGAAAAUAGGAGCUCCUCACC
rnacentral:rRNA from 1 species